rnacentral:rRNA from 1 species
AGCAGCCGCGGUAAUUCCAGCUCCAAUAGCGUAUAUUAAAGUUGUUGCAGUUAAAAAGCUCGUAGUUGAAUUUCGGGAUCAAUAUGUCGGUCGUGCCUCUGGUACGUACUGGUAUCAUUGAUUUCUCCCUUCUGACGAACCAUGAUUUCAUUUAUUUGGUGUCAUGGGGAGUUAGGACUGUUACUUUGAAAAAAUUAGAGUGUUUAAAGCAGGCAUUAGCUUGAAUACAUUAGCAUGGAAUAAUGAAAUAGGACGUUUGACCCUAUUUUGUUGGUUUCUAGGAUCGACGUAAUGAUUAAUAGGGAUAGUUGGGGGCAUUAGUAUUCAAUUGUCAGAGGUGAAAUUCUUGGAUUUAUUGAAGACUAACUACUGCGAAAGCAUUUGCCAAGGAUGUUUUCAUUAAUCAAGAACGAAAGUUAGGGGAUCGAAGACGAUCAGAUACCGUCGUAGUCUUAACCAUAAACUAUGCCGACUAGGGAUCGGAUGAUGUUAAUUUUAUAAUGACUCA